UACGUAGGGUCCGAGCGUUGUCCGGAUUUAUUGGGCGUAAAGAGCUCGUAGGUGGUUCGCUAAGUCGGAUGUGAAAACUCGGGGCUCAACCCCGAGACGCCAUCCGAUACUGGCGUGACUUGAGUCUGGUAGGGGAGAUCGGAAUUCCUGGUGUAGCGGUGAAAUGCGCAGAUAUCAGGAGGAACACCGGUGGCGAAGGCGGAUCUCUGGGCCAGUACUGACACUGAGGAGCGAAAGCGUGGGUAGCAAACAGGAUUAGAUACCCUGGUAGUCCACGCCGUAAACGUUGGGCACUAGGUGUGGGUUCCUAUCGACGGAAUCCGUGCCGUCGCUAACGCAUUAAGUGCCCCGCCUGGGGAGUACGGCCGCAAGGCUAAA
rnacentral:rRNA from 1 species